GAUGUGAUGGGGAGCGAAAUUUAGUAGCGAAGUAGCUGAUUUCACACUGUCAAGAAAAGUCUCUAUCGAGGUUAAAGGUACCCGUACCGAAAACCGACACAGGUGGGUGAGGAGAGUAUCCUAAGGCUAGCGAGAGAACUGUUGUUAAGGAACUCGGCAAAAUGACCCCGUAACUUAGGGAUAAGGGGUGCCACCAUCAGGUGGCCGCAGAGAAUAG
rnacentral:rRNA from 1 species